CCUACGGGAGGCAGCAGUGGGGAAUCUUGCGCAAUGGGCGAAAGCCUGACGCAGCCAUGCCGCGUGAAUGAUGAAGGUCUUAGGAUUGUAAAAUUCUUUCACCGGGGACGAUAAUGACGGUACCCGGAGAAGAAGCCCCGGCUAACUUCGUGCCAGCAGCCGCGGUA
rnacentral:rRNA from 3 species